GAGCUUAAGUCGACGAAUUCCUAAGAACUCGUAAUAAAAGAGAAAAAGUAUGACGAAGUCGUCGAAAAGUAGAUGCUGGAAUAUGAGUAAAAACGUGUGUUUGAUUGAUUGAUCGAUUAUUCAUUACAAGGUCCUAGGGUCUAUAUUUAUACCCUGCUCAAAGAGCUACAGCCAGACAUGACUAGAAUUCGAAUUCCAAAUUACACGGAAUCCGUAUACAAAACGAUUUAAAUAAUUAAGGAAAUAACAAAACUAUCCCCCGUGACAAACUGAAACUCUUCCACAAACCAUCGGCGGCUCUCGAACUCUCUCUUCGUAUCAUCGGCAGAUUCCCUUGCCAUAGUCAUCGGCAGACUUCCUCAUCGUAGCCAUCGGUACAGACACAUCACCGCCUGUAGACUUAGUCACGGUCAACCUCUCCUUCAUCGGCAACCAUCCUCAUCGGCAACUCAUCCUGUAAACAAAACACUGCCGUCUUAUCCUGCCGACCUGGACACGUGCCCAAAAACGGUGUCAACAGUUCUGGUUUUAUUUUAAUUGUUUUGCUUCAAAACUCUUUUGGAAAAUGUCUUGGAAAAAAAAGAAAUCAGAAAAGAAAAAGAAAAGAAAAGGGGAGAAGCCCCUGGAAACCAACCCGCAGCCCACUGGUUCCCCUCGCUCGGUCCAGCAAGCGGCCC
rnacentral:lncRNA from 1 species